CGGGGAAUUGGUGGUCUACCAUGCGAGUCGAGCGGUAACAGAAAGUUAGCUUGCUCCUUUGCUGACGAGCGGCGGACGGGUGAGUAAUGCUUGGGAACAUGCCUUGAGGUGGGGGACAACAGUUGGAAACGACUGCUAAUACCGCAUAAUGUCUACGGACCAAAGGGGGCUUCGGCUCUCGCCUUUAGAUUGGCCCAAGUGGGAUUAGCUAGUUGGUGAGGUAAUGGCUCACCAAGGCGACGAUCCCUAGCUGGUUUGAGAGGAUGAUCAGCCACACUGGGACUGAGACACGGCCCAGACUCCUACGGGAGGCAGCAGUGGGGAAUAUUGCACAAUGGGCGCAAGCCUGAUGCAGCCAUGCCGCGUGUGUGAAGAAGGCCUUCGGGUUGUAAAGCACUUUCAGUCAGGAGGAAAGGUUAGUAGUUAAUACCUGCUAGCUGUGACGUUACUGACAGAAGAAGCACCGGCUAACUCCGUGCCAGCAGCCGCGGUAAUACGGAGGGUGCGAGCGUUAAUCGGAAUUACUGGGCGUAAAGCGUACGCAGGCGGUUUGUUAAGCGAGAUGUGAAAGCCCCGGGCUCAACCUGGGAACUGCAUUUCGAACUGGCAAACUAGAGUGUGAUAGAGGGUGGUAGAAUUUCAGGUGUAGCGGUGAAAUGCGUAGAGAUCUGAAGGAAUACCGAUGGCGAAGGCAGCCACCUGGGUCAACACUGACGCUCAUGUACGAAAGCGUGGGGAGCAAACGGGAUUAGAUACCCCGGUAGUCCACGCCGUAAACGAUGUCUACUAGAAGCUCGGAGCCUCGGUUCUGUUUUUCAAAGCUAACGCAUUAAGUAGACCGCCUGGGGAGUACGGCCGCAAGGUUAAAACUCAAAUGAAUUGACGGGGGCCCGCACAAGCGGUGGAGCAUGUGGUUUAAUUCGAUGCAACGCGAAGAACCUUACCUACACUUGACAUACAGAGAACUUACCAGAGAUGGUUUGGUGCCUUCGGGAACUCUGAUACAGGUGC
rnacentral:rRNA from 1 species